rnacentral:rRNA from 1 species
UGCAUCGAUGAAGAACGCAGCGAAAUGCGAUACGUAGUGUGAAUUGCAGAAUUCCGCGAAUCAUCGAGUCUUUGAACGCAAGUUGCGCCCGAGGCUUGUCCGAGGGCAUUUCCGCUAGAGCGUCACCGCGCCCCCCACCGAUCCACACUCCCGCCGCGAGGCGCUAGUUUGCUUGAGGGUCGAGUGGAAGUGGCCGUCCCGGCGCGAGAAGGCUAAGGGUCGGCUGAAAUGGAUGGAAUUGGGCCGCCGUGGUGACACAGUCCGCGAUCGGGUGAUUUUGUCGCGAGCCUCCCGAGGUUCGCCGUGAAUUUUUCUAAGUGCGUGGCUGCGUCCCCCAGUUGGCUUUGGUUACCUCGAGCAGGUCGAGCGCGCCCCAGCGGCGCGCGUCACGCAUCAGACCUCUAAUCGGAAAAGACUACCCGCUGAGUUUAAGCAUAUCAAUAAGCGGAGGA